CCAAGACCAGCUAGGUGUGUUCACCAGCAAACAUUUUUUUUAAUACAAUACAGAUGCAAAUGUUCAUAUACACGCGCAUACACUCAUUUCUAUAAACGCACGUGCACACCCAACCCUUGUGGACACAUUCGAGGGACUGAGCCGCUAGAAAUCCUGAAAUAAAUCUAUAAAUAAUGCAAGCACCAUGACUUGAACACGAUGAUACACAGUUCCUCUAACCAUCUUACCCUAGGUCGGUUCACCAUUAGCAAAUAACCUUAAAAGCGCAUGAAGUACAGACCAGUCGUAUUUCACCAUUCUAGGCGACCGUUUUCCACUGGGUUUCAGAACAUAUGUCUCAAUAUAUCAUCAAACAAAACAUACAUCUUCUGUAAAUAAGUCGACCGCCAAGCAAAUUACAGUGAUAUUUUGCAAGAGAAUGGUAAUCUAGUCACCGUCCCAUGUAUCUUUUUUAUCUGAGCUCCUCACACAAAAAAAAUCUAGUCGUGUGAAUUUGGGAUUCAUAUGUCCAGUGUUUCUUCUUUGAAAGGAUCUAAAUAGACAAGUGCAUUUUACUUUCAUCCGGGUAUUACUCAUGUCAAGAGACUGUCAAGACAAUUAGCAAAACAAUUGUGUUGUUGUAUUGCAAGAAAUCUACUGUAAAAAAGAAAGAAUGUGAGAAAAAAUUAGCACAAAAAUUGUUUGGUGCCCUCGUCCUCACAUUAUUCAGAAAAUUAGCAAAACAAUUGGGUGAUUGCAUUGCAAGAAAUGUACUGUAAAAAAGAAAGAUCGUGAGAAAAAAUAACAAAAUAAUUGUUUGGUGGCCUCGGCUUCACAUUAUUCAGACAAUUAGCAAAACAAUUGUGAGGUUGCAUUGCGAAAAAUCUACUGUAAAAAAGAUGAAUUGUUUGGUGGCCUCGGCUUCACAUUAUUCAGACAAUUAGCAAAACAAUUGUGCGGUUGCAUCGCGAAAAAUCUAUUGUAAAAAAGAUGAAUUGUUUGGUGGCCUCGGCUUCACAUUAUUUAGACACUGCAUUGCAAGAAAUCUACUGUAAAAAGCAAAACAUAAUUACUGUAAAAAAGAUGAAUUGUUUGGUGGCCUCGGCUUCACAUUAUUUAGACACUGCAUUGCAAGAAAUCUACUGUAAAAAACAAAACAUAAUUGUGUGGCUGCUGGGAUUCGAGCCCAGGUCUCCACGGCCACAACGUGGAAUUCUCACCACUAAACUACAGCCACAAUCGUGUCCAAUUUGAGCUUCCAAGGUUGAAGGAUCAAAAUAUCUUGUUCGACACCUUCUACACACUUCUCUUUUUGAGAACUAUACACUUUUUUUUGACAGGAAUCUUCUCUACACAUUAUCUUCUGUUGACAUAAGUCACAGUGUGUGUCACUAUAGGCCGGUAGACAAGCCAACAUGUUGAGGCAGUUUUCGCAAAAUAAAUAAUAAUAACAAUUGAGGCGGUAACAACUGCUUAAUGUGCUCAAACAGUUAGACCAGACCAUGUGACACAUGAGGUAAGCAAUCUAAACAAUUCAAAAAGAAAUUCAAACAGUUAGACCAGGGACAAUAAAUAUUUUGCUAUGAACAUAUUUUUUUCACGAGUGCUAUGAACAUUUUUUGAACUGCGAAUAUCAGCAUUUGUCCUUUUUUGCUUCAAAUUCAGACUUGUAAUGUUGUGCUGCCCUAGAUACACCUUAUAUAUCGCUCGAUUGCACGUAAUUGCAUGGCACUUACUCCCACCACACAGCCGGCCAUCAUUUACUAAAACAACACCUAUGGUUGGCUUCGCUAAUUUCCAUAGCUGACGGUCUCGAUCUGGGCUACAAUAUUAAUUAAAUGUACUCUAAUAAAUAAUUUGUUCUUUACAAGUUGUCUUCGUCUUGAAAAUGAAACCUUAUUUUUUAUAUUUCAUCAUCCAUACUAAUUUUUUUUAGCAAAAUAACUAGUUGCUACCCCAAUCCCAUAAUAGUAACACACCUGAAACAGAUAAACUAGUCACUAACAUCCCUGAUAUUAUGUCUAAGAAAUACAUAUAUAAGUAUAUAAGCUUAUUUAACACUAAUUGUAACAACUUCAGUGUCAAGAAUAUAAAUACCAAUAUCUGAUUUCAGACAUACAUAUAUGUUAGUACUAUGCACAGAUAAACAUAUACUAUGUAAAUAACUAAUUUCAGAUAACAUGUUCAAAUGAACACACACACACACACACACACACACACACACACACACACACACACACACACACACACACACACACAUAUAUAUAUAUAUAUNNNNNNNNNNNNNNNNNNNNNNNNNNNUAUAUAUAUAUAUAUAUACAUACUUAUAUAUAUAUAUAUAUAGAAAUUCUAUUCAUCACCCAGGGUGUAGAAUAGUUUAUUCUUCACCCGAGAUAAUCUUACGAUCAAUUUACAAAUAAAUUACAUUUGGAAUACAAAUAAUUAAAUUUAUAUUGAACCAUUAUGUAAUAUUUGACAAAAUAAAAACAAAAAUAUAGGUCACAAGACCAGAAAAAAAUGAAUUUAUUGUAUUUUUUGCACUAUUGUUGUAUGUUCGUAAUUUUACGUGACAUAAAAUAUUUUUACGUUGAUUAUAUUUUCUUACGGUCUCUUUUUAUGUAUAAAAUAAGAAAAAAAAUAUGAAAUAUAAAAUUACGGUGCAUUAAUGUUAAAAUAGAGGGGGUGAAGAAUAACUAUUCCUCACCCAGGGUGACAAAUAGCGCAACCCUUAAUUUGACUAAUCCCCAAUUUGAAAAUACUAACACUGAACCAAUGCCCAAUUUUAAAGAACAUACUCAUCCUAGUUUCAGAUAAUUGUACAUAGAUGACAUGUUCAUCUAAUUUCCCCCCUAAUUUUUCUCAAACCCUAAAUCUCUAUUUAUCCUAGAACCCUAAAAUCAAAAUGAAAAAUAAUAGAGAGGAAAGAGAGGAGUUAGACAUACAUGACACCGCGGAGUGGGGAAGCCCAGUUGUGGUCGUCGGUCGGAUCAGCCACAAUCACUGUGGCAAAAGACGUCGCCGCACGAUAUGUCGGGGACGACUAGGGCGGUUGCAUGGAAAAGCUCAUGUUUUGGAGUUAGUGGUCGACCUCACAGUAGUCGUCGCCUUCGCCACCAAUCCCUCCACCACCUACCAAGUAAUUGUUGUGGAUGGGCUUUGCCGCCGCCAUUACCGACCUUAGGUCAGAGCGAGCGCAGGAGAGAGCUAGCUGGUGUGAGAGAGUGACUGACUAGCACCAAUAGAGAGAAGAGGUUCCUACGAGACCAAGUAGGAUGACGACUGUUACCCCCUUCCGUCUAUCCCGUGGCCUUGGCGGGUGGGCCAGACAUGUCAUAAAACGGUUAAUUUUAACCCAACCUGUCAUAAGUGGCUUUUGCCAAUUUUUAAGACAAAAGUGGUAGGCAUCAGUAAAGAAAAGAACGGUGUUUUUAAACCAUAACGCCAAUUGUGAUUUUUUUUGCUAUUACUUAUCACAAAAGCAUUUGCUGCUUUUUUAAAUAGAUUUGUGAUAAUCGAUUCAGUCUUGGAUAUGAGAGUUGACAUGCAUAGAAACAUGAAGUGUAGAUAUAACCAAUAAAUGUACAGACAAGAGACGGUCACAAGAGGAAAUCGAAACCCAUGAUCUUUCGGCGAUUCUGAGUGUUGGUAGAUCCUAGAUUAUAUUAUGGCUGCGCAAGAACAUCUAGUAUAUUACACUUACAUAUAGUUAGUGGUGACUUCCGCUUGCUAAUUACCGUGUAGAAUCUUAGGGUUGGUUUUGUAGCAAAUCCUUUACUAAUCCCACCAUGCUUGACUCCAUCCAUCUUGCACCGUUUAAACAUAUGCCAUGGCUUAAUUUCCAAGGUACAUCUCAACAUAACAUCAAAUAGGCUGAUCACCAAGCAAACUAAGGUCAUAUUUUGCGUGAAAAUAAUAUGGAUCCAUCAGUGUUCAAUGUUUUUCCCUUGUGCAAAGGUUCUAAUUAGACAAGUGCAUUUUACUAUGUCCUCAGAGGUUUUUCAUAUAUAAUUUUUCAUUCGGGUAUUAUACUCAUGUCAGGAGAUUAUUGACAACUGGAAGGGCAAGAAAAAUAAAUGCUAACUAGACAUGUUCUAUUGUGGCCAUUUGGGCAACAUGUCUCUUUAGCCUUUUCAAUGAUCUUAAAGGCUCCAAAUCUCUAAUAAGCUCGUCACCGUGCCUGAGUAAUUGAUAGGAAUUUGUCGCACAAUUCACUCUUCUUUUUGAAAAAUACUCUUGUUAUAAUUUAUACUUGUCAUAGAAACUUGCUCAAAGCAGGUUAAAAUCCAUUUCAGAUUAAUAACAAUUGACAUGAUUUUUUGAAUGAAAAAGAAUAAUCUAAUCAUCUGGCAGCAGCAAUCACAUGCAACAACUAGAAUGCAAGAAAUGUACUGUGGAAAAGAAAACUGUGAGAAAAAAACUAGCAAAAUAAAAUUAUGUGGCUGCUGGGAUUCGAGCCCAGGUCUCCACGGCCACAACGUGGAAUUCUCACCACUAAACUACAGCCACAAUCGUGUCCAAUUUGAGCUGGCAAAUUUCAAGUAUGCAAAAAUCUAUCCUUCAAGGUGUACACACGUUCUUCUGUUGCGAUGUGACGUUGGCAUUUAGACCAAAAAUGCUAAAACCUAGAGAAAUAAAAACAAACUUAACCACAUUCUCAAUACAUGUAAAUGAACCAAAGCAUGACUGCAUGCCGCCAUGCUUGGCUCCUGCCAGCUCUUCAACUUUAUAUUCAGCUUCUUUUAAAUUUCAUACCACUGCACCUUUAUUCCCAGCUUAUUCUCUUACUCUGUUUUGGUUGACGCCUUGAGCUUCAGCCUACAAAGGGGGAAAUGAAGUAAGAUAUGUGGCCUAUCUAGUUCAAAAUCGAAAUGAUCAUAAAUGCUACAUUAAUCCAUUCACGUACACACACAAAUUGUAUGACUGUUCCUGUAAAAAAACAUCAAGUGUCAGCUUACUGUGGCGGUGAGGCCUGAUGGAUAAGUCUCUAUACUAAGGUCUUUGUAGGGCUGCAACACAUGGUCCCUGUGUUCUUAUGACUAUUAGGAUAGCAUCCUUGACAACUAAGGACUAGCAUUUUAGCAGCAUCUUAGACUAGCAUCUUAGCAUAUGCUUAGCUGGCUAGCAACCUAUAAAUAUGUAUCCCCAACCCCUCAGGUUGGCAUGGCAUUGUGUGAGAAAUAAACCAACGAAAAAUGUUCCAACUCUUCCAAUGUCAUUCAUCACUAUCAAUGCUCAGGCUGAAACGACUAACAAGGCCUAGAUUAUAUCCAUCAUUUGACUAUACGUAUGAUAUUAAAAAUAAGGGCAUAUUCAGGGACUAUUUCUAACCAUAAGAAUAUAAUUUUGUCAAUACAUGAUAUAUUUACCUUAUAUGCAUGGGAACAAAGGUUUUCACCUAAGCAUCUGGUUCUUGCAUAAUUCCGUCAGCCUUAGAUGUCUAACAUUUGAUAGAGGAACACCCUCUACCACCUAGAGGUAAAAGUAGUUAAAUAAAAAUCCUAAUGCAUUGCAAAAUUCUGAAGAAAGCAAAGUCUAGCCUUUACGUUGACCUCCACGCCAAUGUCAAGUAACAGCAACGCUUCUAUCUCCAAGUUGAGUUGGGAACUGAAAGCCCAGGCUAAUCAAAGUUCUGAAGCAAGCUGGCAAAGCAACAAAAGUUAAGAGGAACUUUGAUUAGCCAACAGAAGGUAUGUGUAACCAUCUUUCCACGCCAACAUUAAGACGAUAACUGCGGCCAAAUUAUAGACAGAUUUAACAUACUGCACAGUCACUGAUAACUAAUCAUCCUGCAAGAGCAAUCACAUGCAAUGAGUCCAGCUAGAUUGCGAGAAAUGUACUGUUAAAAAGAAAGAACUAGAGGGAAAAAAAUGACUAGAGCAAUUAGUACAGCUAGAUUGUGAGAAAUGUACUGUUAAAAAGAAAGAACAAGAGGGAAAAAACAUAAUUGUGUGGCUGCUGGGAUUCGAGCCCAGGUCUCCACGGCCACAACGUGGAAUUCUCACCACUAAACUACAGCCACAAUCGUGUUCAACUUCAGAUGGAAACCUACAAGGAUAUAGAUAUCUCCUUCGAGACCUUCUCUGCUCACACACUCACACUACCGGAUGAGAAGCCCAUAUACUAUGAUGUUGGCAUGUAGAUCAAAAAAUGCUAAAACCUACAGAACGAGUGUUUCCUGCAAAUAAACUAAACCGCUAUCUUAAUACCACCGGUAAACAAACUAGAGCAUGACACAAGUCACAAAAGAGUACGACUAGACGUAGCUGUCAAGCCGAGGACAUAUUGAGACGUCACUCUAGGUCGACAGACAAGCCAACAUAUUGAGGCGGUUUUCGCAAUAAAUAAAUAGAUAAAUAUUGAGGCGGUAACAAGAGCUUAAGGCGAUCAAAUCAAACAGUUGGAGCAGGAAAAUUGCAAAUUCUGCUUUGAACAAUAUUUGAACCGUGAAUGGCAGCAGCCUAUUUACACCAGCAUUUGUCCCCUUUGCUCCAAAUUCAGACUUGCAAUUUUCUUCUCUUAAAAUCGCCCGAUUGCACCUAAUUGCAUAGUCCCACCACACAGCCGGCCAGGAUGUACUAAAACAAUACCCUGACAUUGGCCUCGCUAAUUUGCGACCUGUGUGUCAUGUAGGCUGCUCAAAACUUGAUCUCAUCUCAUAUGCUUGGAUGGAUGUUAAAUACCAACUUCCUAAUACAAUAUAUUAAGGCCUUGGUACACUGCCACGCUGGUAAAUCUUGGUCAAUCUGACAGUCACAUCCCACUGCUUCAAUAGACUAUCUGGUCAUAUAUAGUCUUACCAAACCGCAAUGUAUAUGGGCGAAACGGAGGUGGUGCGGUGCAGAAUUACAGAUCAUGGGCUACCUGUGUCAGCAACGCAGCUCCAAGCAGGCACCUUCUGUACAUCCAUCACUGCCAUCGAGCGUCUAAUAUGCUCCACCUCACGCCAUCUAUCACCACUGCCUGCUUGGACAUUGCUAAACACCACAUGGUAGCCAACAUUAUCUGGUUCCAACUCCAUAAGUUUCUGAGUUGCAAAAGAUGCCAGCUCGACAUUCGAAUGUGUUCUGCAUGAUGCAAGGAGAGCACCCCAAAUUCUUCCAUCUGGCUUAACACUCAUGUCACUGAUCACUUGGACGGCUUCGUCUAGGUCACCCGAACGGCCGAGGAUGUCCACCAUGCAAGUGUAGUGGCCUAGCUCCGGCGUGAUGCCAAACUCCCUAGUCAUGCAAUCAAACAAUGCACGGGCUUCAGUAACAAGCCCUGAGUAACUACAGGCCAACAGCAAGCUCAGGAAGGUCACUCCGUUUGGCAUUACUCCUUCCGCAAGCAUUUGGUCAAACAAUGCCAGAGCUUCCCUGCCGUUCCCAUGAAUCGCGUACGCUUCAAUCAUUGAACUCCAUGCGACAAUGUCUCUCUGCUGGAUGUUGUUGAAGCACCGUCGUGCCAAACGGAUGUUCCCACAUCUAGAAUAGAAUUUAACAAUUGAUGUCUCCAAGUAACAGCUAUUCUCAUAUUGUGCACCACCAUGACUGUUUCGUAUGAUGUAUCCAUGAGCUGAUUUACCUAGCCGCGAAGCACCUAAUUCCAUGUAACUGAUGACUAGUCCUUGAAGCAUGUCGGCGUUGAUAGCUAGCUGAGAGUUCAACAUUCGCCCAAACAGAUGGACUACUUGUAAGAAGUGCCCAUGGUGGAUGAGACCCCACAUCAUGGCUGACCAUAUGCAGCUGUCUGUUCCCCUGAAUUCUUCAAACAACUUGGCAGAGGAUUCCAUUUCACAGCAUUUAGCAUAGAAAUCCAGAAAGGAUGCCACCAAGAUCGGAUCACUAAGCCCACUCCUAAUUACAAAACAAUGGAGCUUCUUUCCUUGCUCAAGACACCUGUGCUUGGCAAAUGCAGCAACCAGGGCAGUUAAGGUCUGGCAGGUUGGACGCACUUCCUCUCUUCUCAUCCUUUCAAACAUGUCAAUGACUUGACCAACGUCUCCCUGCGACGAAAACUCUGAGAUUAUAAUGUUCCAAGAAACCGCAUCUCUUCCUCCCGGCGAGAGCUCGAACAGCCUCACCGCAUCGUCCAAGCAAGUCGUCGCCCUGGCGAAGUGUGUCAAUAUUGAGUUGAGAACCAGUGGCUCUUCACUUAAACCGCUCUUCAUCGCAUAGCAGUGCAGCUGUCUCCCCCCGGGAACGUCCCUCUCGGCGGUACACCGACGAAGCAGCACCGCGAGCGUCACGGAGCUCGGCUCGCACCCGUCCAUCCGCAUCUUGGUCACCAAUCGGGAAACCUCUCGUCUGUCGCCUGUACCGACGAAGGCAGAGAUCAGCGACGUCCAGGAAACCACGUCCCUAACGGUCAUUUCGUCGAACAGCUGCCGCGCGGAGGCGACCGCGCCGUGCCUCACGUAGGCGUCGACGAGGGUGUUGCAGAAGUAGAGAUUGAGUGCGAACCCGGUCCGGACGCCCACCGAGUGGGCGGCCCCGACGAGGCCGUCGCGAGCAGCGAGCGAGGCCGCCGCGCGGUUGAGCAGCGGGAGCGUGAAGCCGUCCGGGCGGGCGCCGGCGCGGAGCAUGGCGGCGAAGGCGGAGACGGCCGCCGCGGGGAGGCCGGAGUCGAGGCGGUCUCUGAUGGCGGCGUUCCAUUGGGGAGCGGCGGAGGUGGCCGGAGGCGGUGAGCUGGGUAGGAGGAGGCCGCGCUGGCGCUGGGCUGCCGUAGGUAUCAGCAAGUUGGGUGUUGGACGAAAUGCGGAUGGAGGCAUCUUGAUAUGGGACAGGCCGGACUGCAACAGCUCGCCGGAAAGGAGCAGGUGCACCGUGCAGGGCUAGUCGUCCGCCGCGGCGGAGGGUGUCUGUGAAUUACUUUCAGGCCAACUUCACCGCGCGCACGCGGAAACAAACGGACUUUUGUCGGUUUGUGUUCGCUUUCGAUUUAUGCCGGGUCCAAUUUUGCGUCGAUUUUAGAUGAAAACGGACAGCAUGAAAACGGACAGCGCGCGGACAAGCAGGACGCGCGCUUGUCCGCCCCUGACCCGCCUGUCGGUGGCACGAACUAAAACCCACCCCCGCCCCCUUUGGCGCCAUUUCUCCCCAAACCCUCACACGUUCACCGUCCCCUUCUCUUUUCCCGUUCAUGGCCGACGUCCACCCGAAUCCGGCGGUCCGACCGUCGACCAGCCCGGAAUGGCCAAGAAGAAGAAGGCCAAGGCGCCAAGGAAGUCGCAGGCGGAGUGCACGCCGGAUGAGAUCGCCAAGUUAAACGCGGAAUCGACGAAGAGGAGGAACCGGAGGGGCGGUCGUGAAGGACAACGCCGCCACGCGCAAGUUCGCUGCCGAGCGCGAUGCGAUGAAGGCCGCGCGGCGAAAGACCGAGGUCGAGGAGAAGGAGGCCAUCGUCAACAAAGCGCACGCCCUCCUCAUGCUUGGCAUUUGUCGUCCGGCCGGUUUCUCUACAGCGACCGUCGGCCCGGCGAGCACAGGCUCGUCGGUCGCCCGGUCUCCGCACUGCCAGUCGCCGAUGUUGCGGACCAUGCUUGUGUCGCCCGACUCCCCCCCCGNNNNNNNNNNNNNNNNNNNNNNNNNNNNNNNNNNNNNNNNNNNNNNNNNNNNNNNNNNNNNNNNNNNNNNNNNNNNNNNNNNNNNNNNNNNNNNNNNNNNNNNNNNNNNNNNNNNNNNNNNNNNNNNNNNNNNNNNNNNNNNNNNNNNNNNNNNNNNNNNNNNNNNNNNNNNNNNNNNNNNNNNNNNNNNNNNNNNNNNNNNNNNNNNNNNNNNNNNNNNNNNNNNNNNNNNNNNNNNNNNNNNNNNNNNNNNNNNNNNNNNNNNNNNNNNNNNNNNNNNNNNNNNNNNNNNNNNNNNCCCCCCCCCCCCCCGCCAAGGCACAACGCCCACACCCGUUUCUCGGGGUCACCGGACGUGAGCGUGAUCGCGCCUUCCACCACACGCCCCUUGGCCUGCAUCGACCUCAACGUCACACCUGGGUCUAGCAGCGGCAGCCAGCCGUUCGUCGAGAUGCAAAGAAAGCAAGCACGCCCGCCGUUUACGAGCACCAUGCCAUCCCCCCGCGUCCUGUUCGACGAAAUGUUAACACCAAUGGCACCGGUCGACGACCCCCUGCACCCAGUUCAUGGAGGAUGUGAUCUACAACGGUGGGCAUGUCCCUGCCUAUGAUCCCGAGGAGACCCAAAGUCAGGAUGGUCGCGCCCAGUUCGUUGUCGAUGAAGAGGCCGACGACCGUGCUGACUACGACCAUGGUGACUCGUGGCAUGAAGACGAUGACAUCUAUUGCGAAGGUGAUGGUGAUGANNNNNNNNNNNNNNNNNNNNNNNNNNNNNNNNNNNNNNNNNNNNNNNNNNNNNNNNNNNNNNNNNNNNNNNNNNNNNNNNNNNNNNNNNNNNNNNNNNNNNNNNNNNNNNNNNNNNNNNNNNNNNNNNNNNNNNNNNNNNNNNNNNNNNNNNNNNNNNNNNNNNNNNNNNNNNNNNNNNNNNNNNNNNNNNNNNNNNNNNNNNNNNNNNNNNNNNNNNNNNNNNNNNNNNNNNNNNNNNNNNNNNNNNNNNNNNNNNNNNNNNNNNNNNNNNNNNNNNNNNNNNNNNNNNNNNNNNNNNNNNGAUGAAGGCAAUGACAUUGAUAUUAGUGGUGAGCCAUUGUUCAUCGACGAGCUCACCCAAAGAGCGGAAGCACAAAAUAGGAAGAAGAGCAUUUGCACGGGUUCAUACACCCAAGAUGAGGACAAGCUGAUUUGCAAUUGUUGGAUGGAGAUUGAAAGGAUCGAUAUGNCCUUUAUAUAGUGGGGGGAAAAUUCAGACCGUUUUCCCACUCUCUGCCCGAGUUCCAGCGGUACUACCGCUGAGCAGGAGCGGUACUACCGCUGCCUGGCGGUACUACCGCUGGAUGCAGCGGUACUACCGCUGGGUCUCCAGCGGUACUACCGCUGACACCAGCGGUACUACCGCUGGCCCCUUGGUAGUGCUCAAGCACUACUACCGCCGGGAAAGCCUUCGCAAAAGGGUCCAUCCACGAACUACCGCUAGGUAGGUGGAACAAAGCACCUGGGCGGUACUACCGCCAGCUAGCGGUACUACCGCUGGCUGCAGCGGUACUACCGCUAGUAGUCCAGCGGUACUACCGCCGGAGCCAGCGGUACUACCGCUGGGGACCAUUUCGCAGAGAUACUCAAAAUGAAUAGGCGAGGGCCGCUCCAAAAGAUAAGGAAAGGGAGAAUGUGAAGUGUGCGUGUGUAAAGAUAGAUUCCACCCAAACCUUUCCACUACGGAUCCCCUCUUAAUAGUACGGCUUUCCUAAGACUCAAAUAAAGAGAAUCGUAGAGAGCGUCGUGCUUCCGUUCCAGGAGAGAGGAGAUGAGUCGUCUUGUGCCGUUGACGUGUGUUAUCUGAAACCUUGACACACACGGUUAGUCCUGUACGGUACUGUCAUCAAUCACCAAAAUUACUUAGGCAUAAACUAUGCCCCAACAAUCUCCCCCUUUUUGGUGGAUUGAUGACAAUACCGGAUUUGCACAGAGAAUAAUAUGAGAACAAACAGAUAGAGAUAUAUGACAAUACGGGGCAUAUGACUCACAUCAUAUGAUGGAAAUAAAUCUCGCAUAAGAUCAUGUCUCACAAAAGAUGGCAAACGAGAAUCAAACCAUACGAAAUAAAGCAAAGCAAUGCAAAGUUCGAAAAUGAAAGCAAAUCCUAGACUCUCUCCCCCUUUGGCACAAGACACCAAAAAGGGGCACACCUAAUGCCACAAGUAACUACUCCUCGUCUUCAGGAUCACCAGACUUGUCUGUCCCCUCCUGGUCGGUCUGCUCCUCCUCUUCCACCUCAUCGCCAGACCACUGGUACCCCUGAGCCUGCAUCCAAGUGGCCUCAGGAGUGAUGUCGUCCUCUGAGCCGCUGGAGAUGUCCACAUCCAAGGUCCUGAGAACACGCUUAUGCCUCUGGCGGCUCUGCUUCUGAGCCACGUGUGUCUGGUACUAACCUUUGGCCUACAUAUAGAAAAGUGUCUUCAUCUUGUCCCGCAGUUUGAUAGCCCAAGACAACAUGGCAGACGAGCGGGACUGAGAUGCGGUUCCUCUGUCAGCAGCAGUCUCUGUAUCAGUAUCCAUGUGCUGAGAGGAUGUAGAUGGGUUGGCCCACUUGUCCUUGACGCGAAGCCUGAUCGGGUCAUGCACAAUGUAAUCAGACUGAGCGUAGAGCAGCUCCUCUGGAAAAGCCUCUUGCCACUUAUGGCUAAUGUAUGCGAACAGGUAAGGCCCGUAGAUAGGAACCUUACGGAUGAUGAUGCAGUUUCAGAGCUCUGUGAAUAUCACAUCAGAAAUAUCCAGUUGAGCAGACUCCUGAGACAUAGCCUCCUCACAAAGUAACAGCAUCUCAGCCAAGGAGCCAUGGACCUCAUCGAAGUUACCACUCCGAGGGAAGAGGGUGUUGCGAAAGAUCCGAUGCAUGAUGUCCAGGUGCUUGGGAAGCACCCCCUUCCUUAGAUACAGUGUCUGCAGUCUGUCCUUUGCGGGGGCCCUAUCGGUGGGGGCUGAAGCAUGAGGACGCAGCCCAAGAGGAGUGUCAGCACCCUGAAAGUCAAUGUGAAGGAACUGCAUGAACUCAGUCCAAGAACCGGUCAUCUUCUUUGACCCAGUCAUCCACACCAUGGAACGCUGUUCAUCAGGAGAGAAAUGGACUGUGACAUAAAACUGAGCAACUGCAGUGGGAUCAAAGUCCGUCUUGAAGGUGAUGAUGUCUUUGAUGCCCAGUUUGUCAACCAGAGAGAGGGCAUCACCAAAGUAGUCCAUGUUCCGCUGAAGAUGUGCCAGAUCAAUCCACUGAACAGAGACAUAGUUCUUCUUGAAAUGAGCAAUAACAUCCCGAUAGAUCCUGCACUGGUCCCUUGCCCAGACAUGGUCAACACCCUCGAUCACAUCCCUCUCCUUGAGAUAGUGGUUCUUGGUGCGAAAUUGCAGAAAGUCCUUGGGGGACAUUGUACGGAUAUUGACCCUCUUGUCCUUGUGAGCGACCUUCUUGAAGGACUUCUUCUUGGGAGGCAGACCAGAGGUGGCAGACCCCUCAGGCGCCUCUGGAUUGCAAUACUGUUUGGACUGCGUGUCCCGUGGGGGGUUCGAACGGCGAGAAGAGCCACCUGUGACACAGACCACACAGCGAAAAAGAGGCGACAAGAAGAGUCAAGGCAAUGAAUCUUGAAAACGCAAAACAAGUAAACACGCAUUGCUAAGCAGAAACAACCAGAAAAAUACAUAGUGAACUCUCAUGGCGGUAGUACCGCCACCCCUGGCGGUAGUACCGCUACCCCCUGGCGGUAGUACCGCUGGGGGUUUGACUUUCAGAUCUGACAUAUAAAACUCGUUUUCGAGGGCAUGGGCUGAAUAUGAACACUAAGACGUACACCCCCAGCCCUACUGUCAUGAGGAACACUUAGUAACAAGAGAUACAUACAUGCCUAGGCAAGAGAGAACACGUUUUAGAUCUAAUACAAAAGUUCAAGUGUUCGAUCUAAGACGAGUAACUCCUAGGGCAUGGCAGCAAACUCAACAUCAAACCAUCGGACCUAUACUCCCCUCAAAUAUUUCCUUCAUGCCAUCCAAGAACUAGCCAUAGGAUCAAAAGUAUGAAUCCAAUCCCCAAUGCUCCUAACCCUAGAACACGAACAACAACCAAAUAGAAGAAGGGAGGAGCUUUACCGGGAUUCAUGGCUCUUGGAGGAGGAAGAAGAGAUGAAGCAACCCUUCCACACCAAUGGGGAGAAGGAGCUCCACGAAGUGAGAUCCAAUCAGGGAGUUUUCGGGCUAGGGGAGGGAGGAGCCGCGAGGAAGAAGAAACAGAAGAGAAAAUCGGGCUCCCCCUCCCUUUAUAUAGCCCAAGGGGUACGGGCCAGCGGUAGUACCGCUGGGGUCCUGGCGGUAGUACCGCUCCCCCUGGCGGUAGUACCGCUCCCUCUUGAAACCCUAGAAUUUUUCUAGCCGGUCGUGUUAGAUUUUGAAUCCUGGCGGUAGUACCGCUACCCCUGGCGGUAGUACCGCUGGGGUCCUGGCGGUAGUACCGCUGUACAUGUUUCAACACGGCUAAGGAAAUAAGGGUGAACUUGGGCACAUGACAAGAGUAAAAGGAGAUAGCAUCCAAGAGAAUGUACUGACUUGUCAUUGUAUAUCCUCUCCUUUAUACGCAGGAGAGGAUGGAGGGGCGGUGGCCGAGGCCACCUAUGUUUGAGACAAUGGUAUGACACCGCGAAGAAUUAUCCUUGGGUUCAUGACCAAUGCUCGUCUUUGAAGCACAAGUGCCAUUUGACAAUGGCUAAAGUGAAAGACUAGAUUGAUUUACGCAUAAUGGGGGGAGGGAGAGUUUAUUGAGAGAACAACACUCCCCCUAUGUCCAUGCCUACAUCUAGACCAAGAUGGAAUGUAAAGUGAGGUGCAAUAUGCCUAGUUUCAAUCCACAUUACUUGAAUCAAUGAUAUUCAGCUCAUGCCUUAACUCCCGGAACCUUGCUUCAUCUAGAGGCUUAGUGAAGAUAUCUGCAAGUUGCUCUUCAGUGUGGAUGAAGUGAACCUCAAUAUCACCUAGCUUGAUAUGUUCACGAAUGAAGUGAUGACGAAUAUCAAUAUGUUUGGUUUUGCUAUGUUGCACAGGGUUAAGGGAAAUCUUGAUGGCGCUUUGAUUGUCACAUAGAAGAGGCACUUUGUCACAAGUGACACCAUAAUCCUUUAAAGUUUGCCUCAUCCAUAGCAAUUGUGCACAACAACUUGCAGCUGCCACAUACUCAGCUUCGGUGGAUGAUAAGGAGACACAGUUCUGCUUCUUUGAAGACCAACUUACCAAAGAGCAACCAAGGAAUUGGCAUCCUCCAAACAUUGACUUCCUCUCCACACAAUCUCCAGCCCAAUCUGAAUCAGAAUAGCCAACUAGAUUGAAGUUUGCUCCUUUGGGAUACCAGAGGCCAAAGUUUGGGGUAUGAGCCAAAUAUCGGAAGAUUCGUUUGACAACCAUGUAAUGACUUUCUUUUGGUGCGGAUUGAAACCGUGCACAUAUCCCUACACUCAACAUAAUAUCCGGUCUAGAUGCACAGAGGUAAAGGAGGGAUCCAAUCAUGGAGCGGUAUACCUUUUGAUCCACUGCUUUACCAUUGGGAUCACUGUCAAGCUUGCAUCUGGUUGGCAUGGGGAACUUGACCGGUUUGACAUCUUCGAGCUUGAACCGUUUGAGCAUGUCUUGAGUGUACUUGGCUUGUUUGAUGAAUGUCCUUUCUAGACCUUGUUUAAUCUCGAAGCCGAGGAAAAACUUCAACUCUCCCAUCAUGGACAUCUCAAACUUCUCAGUCAUUAGUGCAGCAAAUUCUUCAUUGAAUGAAAUGUUAGGAGAGACAAAGAUAAUAUCAUCAACAUAUAGUUGGCAUAUGAACAAAUCCCCUUUAACCCUCUUAGUAAAAAGAGUGGGAUCAAUCUUCCCAAUUUCAAACCCACGAUCUUGUAACAACUCAGUAAGGUACUCAUACCACGCGCGUGGGGCUUGUUUAAGGCCAUAGAGUGCCUUAUUGAGUUUGUACACAUGAUUGGGGAGCUUGGGAUGUUCGAAUCCCGGGGAUUGUUUGACAUAUACCAACUCAUUCAAAGGACCAUUAAGAAACGCACUUUUCACAUCCAUUUGUUGUAAUUUGAAGUUAUGAUGAGAAGCAAAUGCAAGUAACAUGUGAAUAGAUUCUAGACGAGCAACAGGGGCAAAGGUUUCACCGUAGUCGAUACCCUCGACUUGGGAGUAGCCUUGAGCCACCAAUCUUGCCUUGUUUCGAAUCACAAUUCCAUUUGCAUCUUGCUUGUUCUUGAAUAUCCAUUUGGUCCCGAUGACAUUAUGUUCCUUCGUUGGCCGAGGUACUAAAUCCCAGACUUGGUUGCGCUCGAAGUUGUUAAGUUCUUCGUGCAUGGCCAUAAGCCAAUCCUCAUCACCGAGUGCUUUCUGUACCUGUUGAGGUUCACAAUACGAGACAAACGCGUGAUGCUCACAAUAAUUCCAAAGCUGUUGACGGGUAGAUACUCCCCUUUUUAAACUGCCAAGAACAUUCUUCAUAAGGUGUGACUUGGCUUUCAGCUUGUUCGCAUUCUUGGCUGCUCGACGCUCCAAGAGUUCUUCAUUCGAUAACGGAGGAGCAUCGACUUGUUUCUUUUGUUUGCCCUUGCGUCUUGAGUCGGUUGUUGGAGCUCCAGACGGGAAUUGUGAGACAGUCUCCUGAUCAUCUUGUCCUUCGACUUGAGCAGGUUCACUAGUUUGAUCUUGUAUCAGUGGUUGCUCUUGAUCUUGAUCUUGUGCUGGUUCCGGGUCUUGGAGUAGAGCUUGAAUAUCAUGGGGCAUAUCACCAUUGUUAGGCAAUUGACCUUGACCGUGAGCUUGAUCAACUUGUUGAGAGUCUUCUCUUUGUUCAUCGGAAGCGUGUGGGGCUUGUGGGGGUGAUGGCUCCACUUGAGUAGAGCAUUGUCCUUCUCCUUCGGCCACAAGGGGUUCCUCAAUGGGGAGUAUUUGACCAAUCCCCAUUCUUCUUAUGGCUUCGAGAGGAAUUUCAUCACCUAUAUCACAAAGACCACUUUGCUCCACUUGGGAGCCAUUAUUUUCGUCAAACUCUACGUUACACGUCUCCUCAAUUAGUCCGGUGGACUUGUUGAGGACACGGUAAGCAUGAGAGUUUGUAGCAUAACCAACAAAGAUACCCUCAUGUGCUCUAGAAUCAAAUUUAGCUAACCGAGCUCCCUUUUUAAGAAUGAAACACUUACAACCGAAUACUCGGAAGUACUUGAGAUUGGGUUUGUUUCCAGUUAGAAUCUCAUACGGAGUCUUGUUCAAGCCUUUGCGGAUGUAGAGCCGAUUGGACGCAUGACAUGCUGUGUUGAUGGCCUCUGCCCAGAAGUUGUAUGGAGAUUUGAAUUCUGCCAUCAUUGUUCUUGCAGCGUCUAUCAAGGUCCGGUUCUUCCUUUCUGCCACGCCGUUUUGCUGAGGGGUAUAUGGUGUAGAAUAUUGGUGCUUUAUUCCCUCAUCACCUAGAAACUCAUCUAGGGUGUAGUUCUUGAACUCGGUGCCGUUGUCACUCCUAAUCAUCAAGAUCUUUGCUUCAUGUUGACGUUGUGCUUCAUUAGCAAAGUUGAUGACCGUUUGUUGAGUUUCACUCUUCCUUUUGAAGAAAUAUACCCAGGUAUAUCUUGAGUAGUCGUCAACAAUCACUAAGCAAUAUUUUCUGCCUCCAAGACUAUCAAAUGUUGGAGGACCAAACAGAUCCAUAUGGAGAAGUUCCAAUGGCCUCUUAGUGUAGAUAAGAGUCAUUGGACGAUGAGCAGUUUCAUGAAUCUUUCCUUUAAUGCAAGCACUGCAAACACGAUCUUUAGCAAAGCUCACAUUUGUUAGUCCACGAACAUGGUCCCCUGUCAGAAGACUUUGCAAAGAUCUCAUAUUGACAUGAGCUAAACGGUGAUGCCAAAGCCAGCCCACGUCAACUUUAGCCAUUAAAUAUGUCGCAGUCUUAGUGGGUCGCUUUGAGAAGUUCACUACAUAGAGACCAUUUUCGACAUGUCCAACAUAGGCUACUUUAAGAGUCUUGCUCCUUAGGAGGACCACAGUGUCAAUAUUAAAGAAUGUGGAAAAACCCAUGAUUGCAAGUUGACGAACCGAAAGUAAAUUGUAGGCAAGUGACUCAACAAGCAUGACCUUCUCAAUAGAUAAAUCUUGAGAGACGACCACCUUACCAAAUUCCAAUACCUUUGACGAGGAUGCAUCGGCGAAUUGGACAUGGGUGGGCAUAGAUGGAGAAGGAUGCACAUCCACCACUAAGUCCUUGCUUCCGGUCAUAUGAUUUGUUGCUCCACUAUCGAGCAACCAUGACACCCCACCGGAAGCAAACUCCUGCAAUAGAUCAAGGCUUGGUUUUAGGUACCCAUUUUUUAAUGGGUCCUUUCAUGUUAGAGACAAGGGUCUUAGGAACCCAGAUAGCCCAUUCAAUAUCUUCAUCGUAGGAACCAACAAAUCUGGCAUAAACAUGCCCAUCACUAGCACAACAUAACACAUAAUAGGAAUUGAGUUUGCCGGCUGUGUUAGUAGGAGUGGUUUUGCCCUUCUUGGGGUUCCCAUAGUCCACCUUGUUCCUGUUCACCUUCUGAGUCCCCUCACCCUCUUUGACAAAGAUGUCCAUGAGGGUGAGAGAUCGUUUGUCCUUGUUCUUCCUCUUACCUUUUGACUUGGAGGUAAGUCCAAUUCCUUCCUUUCCUACAACACCCUUUUGAGUGCUCAAGAGAUCGUUCAGACUCUUCUCACCUUGUCUGCAUGCCACAAGGCCCUUCUCAAGUUUCUCCUUUAACUUGGCAUUUUCCUCCACAAGAUGAACAUGCUCACAACAGGGGUUAGUUGCACAAGUAUUAUCAAUUAACACAAUGGGAGGACAAGUAGAGAUCUCCUUGGCAAGCUUUGUGUGGAGUUGAUCAUGAGACUCUUUCAGAGAGAAAUGAACACCUUUCAAGGCUUUGUGGGCCUUGUCAAGUAUGUCAAACUCUUCUUUGAGUCUGUCACGACCAACCUCAAGAGCAUACUUUUCAGAUUUAAGCAUGCGAGUAAGAACAACAUCAUGAUCUAGUUUCUUUUGCAUUUUAGCGCAGUCAUCGUUAUAUGACUCCUCAAGAGCCAAACGAAGAGUGCGCUCUUCUUCUAGAGCACUAGAUAAUUCGGCAAUUUCAUCGGCAUAGUCACGGCUAUGUCCCUGAAGCUCGGAGAUGGUCUCCUCAUGAGACUCAAUGAGGUCAGUGGCCUCACCCAGUUGUUCCAAGAGAGCAACAAAGUGCUUCUUGGGUUCUCCCUUAAUAGUGCAUAGAAACUUAUCAAGAUCAUGCUCAUUAAGUUCUCCAACAUCACUAUCUUCUACACAAUUUAACAAUGAAGGAGCAGAAGCAAUGUUGGUCUUAAUGAUGGGAGUUACCUGAUUGGUACCUUUUGCCAUGAGGCACUUGGUGAUGUGGUUCUCGUUGGGGGCGUUGAAGAGAGACACCUUCUGGGAAGAGGUAGUGGCAAUAGCAACAGUUGCCGUUGCCACUGUAUCAUCAUCAUCACCAUCGUCAUCAGAAGGAUACUCCUCCAGGGCCACCAUCCCUUUUGGGUGAGGUUUCUUCACAAAGUUGUUCUUGAUUGGAAAUGAUUUGGUUUUGUCUUUGCGAAUGAGCUUGCCUCCGUUGUCUUCCCUCUUCUCAUAGGGACAUUCUGCCACGAAGUGACUUACGUUGCCACAGUUAUAACAUGUCCUUACUCGUUGUUUGGGUUUGAAUCCACUCGAGUUGUUCUUGUUGAAGGUGGGUCUUGAGUUCCUUUUAUUUCCCCAGAAUUGCCUUGAUGCAAGAGCCAUGUGCUCAUGAUAGGCAUACUUUGUGUCUUCCGGGCAGCUCUCCUCUUCCUCAUCUUCUUAUUCUUCUUCAAGCAUUGCUCUUGCUUUCAACGCAAGGUUGGGUGAAGUGGUUUUUGAUCGGACACGAGCAAGUGCAUUGUCGGCUAUUUCGUUCAUGAUUGACAUUGCAAUGAACUCAUCCAACACUUCACUGGAAGACAAGGAGUGGAAGUCUGGCCGCUGACGAAUGAAAGAUGACAUGGCUUUAUUGAAAGGCAUGAUGGCUUUGAGAAACUUGCGCUUGACCCAUGUAUCAUCCACAUCCUUACUCCCAUGAUCCUUUAGUGCCACAGCAAUAGCAGUCACCCUCCGAUAGAGAUCACGGGGGUCCUCGUCUUCCUUCAUCACAAACUCAUCGGCCUUAUCAAGUAUCACUUCAUAGUUGGAUCGUUGAAUACUUGAGCUUCCCUUGUACAACACCAUAAUAUGCUCCCAACAAUCCUUGGCCAAUGUGAAGGGACAUAAGUGGGGAAGAUCUUCAGGUGGCACAGCAGACUGGAGAAUAAACAACGCAGAGUGAUUAUAUUGAUUGUCUGCAUCUUCUCUUGGAGUGAGGUUGCUUGGGUCAUGGGGAUAAUAUCCUUGCUCGAUAAUUCUCCACAAAUUUGUUGAGCUGUGAUUCAAAUGAGACUUAAUAGAAAAUACCAAGUUAGCAAAGUCACCUUUCACAAGUUUAGGAGGAGGACCAACAGGAUUAAGACGAGGUGCGAGAACGGGUCCUCCAUAGGCCAUGGGAGGUGGAACUGAGGCAUAUGUUCCAGUCCCAUCCUUUUCGUGAGGUGAAACCGGUCGCAUACCUUUAGCCGCUUCCUUAGAGGAGUUGGCCUCCGAAUCGGAAAUGGUGGGUUUAACCACUAAAGCCGGUUCGGGUGCAACUUUUAAGACCCUCAAUUAAUUCUUUAAGCAUGGUUUUGACUUCGCUCGUCAAGGACGUCUUGAGGGCUGCCAUAGUCGUAUUCAAGUCGUCCCUUGUGACCGAAGUCAAGUCCAUGUCCUCGGGUUGUCCAUGGUUAACUUCCUCUCCGCCUUCCAUACUCUUCAGGUGGUUAAACCCUUAAUAAAGAGACGUGGAUCUGAUACCAAUUGAAAGGAUCGAUAUGGUUAGCUAGAGGGGGGGUGAAUAGACAACGACCACUUUUCAAUUAAUCUUAGCAAGUUAAGGUAAACACUAUGCGGGUUCACAAAUAAUAUGACAAUAAGGUGAACCCUAUAGAAUCUAACAACGAGAGCUAUUAAGACAACUAAGAUAUAGUCACAAGCAAAAGCAAAUACAAAGUAAGGGAUAGAGAUAACCACAAGUGGAACCGAUGGAGACGAGGAUGUGUUACUGAAGUUCCUUCCCUUUGACAGGAAGUACGUCUCCGUUGGAGCGGUGUGGAGGCACAAUGCUCCCCAAAAAGCCACUAAGGCCACCGUAUUCUCCUCACGCCCUCGCACGAUGCAAGGUACCGUGAUUCCACUAUAGGUGCCCUUGAAGGCGGCGACCGAACCUUUACAAACAAGGUUGGGGCAACUCCACACAAAGCUUGGAGGCUCCCAACUAAACCACGAAGCUUCACCACAAUGGAAUAUGGCUUCGAGGUGACCUCAACCGUCUAGGAUGCUCAAACACCCAGGAGUAACAAGAUCUGCAAGGGAUUGGUGGGGGAAUCAACUUUUCUCUCGGUGGAAGUGUGGAUCUAGGCCUUCUCAACCAAUCCCUAAAGAAUCAACAAGUUUGAUUGGCUAGGGAGAGAGAUCGGGCACUUUUGAGCUUGUGGAGCAACAAUGGAGCUUAGAGAGGUAAGAGAUAGGGUUCCUCAGCUAGAAGAACCCUUUAUAUAGUGGGGGGGAAAUUCAGACCGUUUUCCCACUCUCUGCCCGAGUUCCAGCGGUACUACCGCUGCCUGGCGGUACUACCGCUGGAUGCAGCGGUACUACCGCUGGGUCUCCAGCGGUACUACCGCUGACACCAACGGUACUACCGCUGGCCCCUUGGUAGUGCUCAAGCACUACUACCGCCGGGAAAGUCUUCGCAAAAGGGUCCGUCCACGAACUACCGCUAGGUAGGUGGAACAAAGCACCUGGAGCGGUACUACCGCUGACCAGGGGCGGUACUACCGCCAGCUAGCGGUACUACCGCCAGCUAGCGGUAGUACCGCUGGCUCCGGCGGUAGUACCGCUGGACUACUAGCGGCAGUACCGCUGGGGACCAUUUUGCAGAGAUACUCAAAAUGAAUAGGCGAGGGCCGCUCCAAAAGAUAAGGAAAGGGAGAAUGUGAAGUGUGCGUGUGUAAAGAUAGAUUACACCCAAACCUUUCCACUAUGGAUCCCCUCUUAAUAGUACGGCUUUCCUAAGACUCAAAUAAAGAGAAUCGUAGAGAGCACCGUGCUUCCGUUCCAGGAGAGAGGAGACGAGUCGUCUUGUGCCAUUGACGUGUGUUAUCUGAAACCUUGACACACACGGUUAGUCCUGUACGGUACUGUCAUCAAUCACCAAAAUUACUUAGGCGUAAACUAUGCCCCAACAGAGAUUAGCCAACAUCCAAGGACGAACGUGCAACAAAAGGGCCUAGUUUUUUGGACGAGAGUCCACAAAACUUUCCAUUGAAAGGAAGAUGUUUGAGCCUUAUCAAAUCACAAGCGACCGUGGCAUCACCUCGAUUCAAAAGAGGUGGUUGUUCAUCCAACAAGAGUGCAAUAAGUAUUGCGCCGCAUCGGAGAGCGUUGAAGCACGGCCCGUGAGUGGUCCCGGCAUUGGGGACAUGGUAUGCUCUCCUCAUCCUAGUCCUCUCCUUGCUUCGGCCUUGUAUAUGUUUGAAUGUCCAAAUCUUGUUGAUCAUGUGGUGUAGGCAUUUCAAUCUUUGGAAGCAUUCAAGGCCCGACACAAUGACAAGCCAUUCACUCUUACGCAUUGUUGGACGAUCAUCAACAAUUGCCCUAAGUUCAAGGAUCAAUAUCGUGAACUUCAAAGGAAGAGAGGCAAGAAGACGGCCAAGUUCGUCGGAGGUGGAGAUGGCGAGGCGUUGAAGAGGCCGAGGGGCAAGACCAACUCCAAGGUGGACGACAUACGUGAUGCCGCAUCCAUGGCCUUGCAUGAGACUUUGCAUGGCAUGAUGUCUCAAAAGGACACGAGGGACGAGAAGAAGCGGCAAAGCAAGGACGAGCAAAUGAAGCAAUACCUGGAGCUUCAAAGGAAGAAGCUUGAGAUGGAGGCGGUGGCCAAGAAGAGGAAGAUCGACCUGGAGGAAGCGGCCCGUCAAAGGCAGCUCGACAUUGAGGCAGCCAAUGUCGAGGCCAGAAGAGGCAGCUCGACAUCGAGGCCACCAAUGCCGCAACCAAAGCGAAGGAGGUGGCCCUUGCGAUCAUGAGCGUGGACUUGACCAAGAUGAGCGAGAAGACGAGGAGCUAGUUCGAGGCCAGGCAGAAGGAGAUGUUCGACGCUGACGGCCUGAACUAGGUCAUCCGAUCGGACGUGGUCGUUCUUUUUUUUAGGCUGGCAUCGGUGCUGCCCGCUGGGCCGCUGGCUGUGUGCCGGCGAGAAACAGAUUCAUUUUGGAGGCUGGCUGUGUUGCCGCCCGCUAGCUGUGUUGUCGGCAAACAAAACUAUUUAUUUUGGAGGCUGGUUGUGUUGCUGGCCGCUGGCUUUGUUGCCGGCGAGGACGUGUAGGCCGUUGGUUGCGUUGCCGGCGUGAACUAGCUAGGCCGCUGGUAUUUGAAGCGUUGUUCUUUUGGAGGCGAACAAGAUAGGACAAACGGAUGCGGCCGCGCGCUGGGCGCACGGCCAGCGCAUCCCAGGACAGGGCCGGACACGACCCCAUCUCCCUAUUCCAAACAGUCAGAAUCCGGGCAAAACGAACGUCCGUUUGAGGUCGCGUGGUGGAGUUGGCCUCAAGCGUAUGGUGUGUGGCACUAAAAAGAAGUACAUACCGGCAAAAAAAACUCUCCUUUUUUCCUUUUCCUUUUUAUUUAUACUUUGUUUGAUUACUAAGAUGAUGUAUGUGAGUUAAAUAAGAUUUCAUCCAGGGACGGGUCUAAGGGGAGGCGAGGGGGGAUAGACCCUCCUCAAUGAUUUGAUUUUUCUUCAAUCGAAGUUGCUAUUUUAGCCAAAAAAUCCAACAUCAUGAAAGCUUUACUUUCUUUAUGAGCAAACUCACCCCCUUCAUACGUUCAUAUUGGCUUUGUCCUUGUUCUCAUCUACAUGAGAAUUAACAAAUAAAAAAAAAGGCAUUGAGUUUUGAAGGAUCAAACCUGAGACCGCAUACUGUUGCUGAGCACCAACUACUACCGUGACAAUAUAUAAAUGUCCAUAAAUUUAAAACAGAUAAAGAAAAUAUAAAAAAUGAAUAAAAUGAAAAAGGAGAAAAUAUAAAGUAUAGCUAAAUACAAGAAAUCAUUAGUUUAUAACACGUAAUGAAACAGAAAAAAGAAAACAAUAAAGAAAAACAAAUGCAACAGCGAAUCGAGACAAUUUAACAAUAGAAAAAAGGUAAAAUCAGCCCACGCGUGUCGGGCAGGCUACACGGAACGGGCUAUAAAUAGUACUUCCUCUGUCUUAAAAUAAGUGACUCGAAAAUGACUUAAUAUUAUAUUAAAUUUAGUACAAAGUUGAGUCAUUUUUGAAUCACUUAUUUUGAGACGGAGGGAGUAUGAUCGAGCAAAUACAAGAUCGAAAAGCCAGACAAAUUGCUAGACUUGUACGUAUAUUUUGAAGACAAAACAAAUCCAAUGGUAAAGGACUUAGAUGUGAGGUAACAGUUUCACAUCUAGAUGUAAAAUAUGAAAUUCAUAGAAUUAUUAGGUGAUCAUAUGUGGUCCAAACAUUAAUUAUUAGUGGUCAAAUAUAUUUGAAAAACUAAUAUAGAGGUAAAACUGAAGCAUACCCACAUUCACGCAAACGUUGAUGUUUUCUUCAAUAUCAUCUUGAGGAUGAAUAUCGAAGGUUACUCUUGCAUAUCCUCCUUAAAUUCAUAUGCCUUACCUAGAGCUUCCCUCUGAAAUGUGUAUAGCUUAACCCGAAAUGGAUAACUAUGUUUAGUCCUCAGGUGAGCUCUCCUUGUCUUCAUAUUCUUACUAUCUUGGAAAGCGAGCUUCUUGAAGACAUACCAUCUUGCAUGACAUUGGAUACAUUAGUGGAAUUGUAAAAAACAGAAAUUACACGUUGAAGAAAAAAAAACACAAGUCAUGAUUAAUUACGAAAAAUAUAUGUCAUCAUUGCAUACCUAAAGACAUCGAAUGACUCGUCCAACUUGAUGGUGAAGAACCUACCGUCUUGCAGGUGAGGCCUGUCGCAGAUUCCUCGAUCGUCACUGCAGUAAUCACAUUCAAGGAUCCGUUGUUGGACAUUUCUUGUGUUCACGAUUCAAAUAUUAACCGACGACAAUUAUACUAGGAAGUAUUCUGCAUGGAUUGACUUUCGGCCUGUCGAGGCUUCCUUAAAAAAAUAUAAUAUAUCAUGGUGUAUAUGGUGCGGCAAUCCGUCACAUUGAUAUGGUUGUGUAUGUGGUGGACACUCCUCUUGACAUAAAUUUUGACCAUUGUUGCUCGUCGCUCCUUCCUUCGUCCCCGUGUGUAUUACCAAAAUGUGUAGCACAUAGAGAAGAAGGAGGAAGUGACCCCCACAACAGCAGUUGGGACUCUUCCUCUGAUAUUUUGACUGUUGGUGAUGGUCGCUUCAUCUCCCUUUCUCGCGCAUUAUACUGAUACGUCUUCAAUGUAUCUAUAAUUUUUGAUUGUUCCACGCUAAUAUAUUAUCAUUCUAAUAUGCUUUUGAGGUAUUUAUUUACCAUUUUAUAUUAUAUUUUAACACUAACCUAUUGACCCACUGCCCAGUGUCAGUUGUUGUUUUCUGCGUGUUUUUUACUUUGCGUAUUUUUCAUACCAAAGGAGGUCCAAUUGCCCUGAAAUUUUUUAAUGAUUUUUUUCUGGACCAAAAAAAGAGCAAUGAGCAUCGGAAGAAAGUUGGAGGCCUCACGAGGGGCCCACAAGUUAUCAAAGUGUGGCCUGGGGGCGGCCUGAUAGGUUGUGCCCCCCUCGUGGCCCUUCCGACGCUGUUUUCGGCUUAUAAAUUCUUAUUUACCCUAGAAAGGUCAGAGGGAGUCCCUGAACACUUGUUACGUCACCGCAAGUCUCUGUUUUGACGGGAGGCCAUCUGGAGCUCCGUUCCUGCAUCCUACCGGAGGGGGGAUCGAUCACGGAGGGCCUCUUCAUCAACCUUGCUGCCCUCACGAUGAUGUGUGAUUAGUUCACCACAGACCUACGGGUCCAUAGUCAGUACCUAGAUGGCAAUCUCGCUCUUUGAUCUUCAAUACAAUGAUCAUCACAUCUUCGCUUUGAUCCAUAUGAUGUAAUUCCUUUUGUGUGGUGCGUUUGUUGAGAUCCGUUGAAUUGUGAGUUUAUGUUCAGAUUAUUCAUGAUAAAUAUUUGAGUCAUCUCUGAAUACUUAUAUGAUUUUUAUGUGCAUGAUUAUGAUAGCUUUGUUAUUUUCUCUGAUCUAUUGAUUUAGUUUGGCCAACUAGAUCGGUAUUUCUUCGGUGAGGGAGGUGCAUUGUGGUAGGUUCAACCUGACGAGUUUCUAUAUCCCAGUGAUAGAAGGGGACAAGAUGCAUCAUUGUGUUGCUGCUACUAAGGAUAAAACGGUGGGGUUUAUUCAUAUUGCUUGAGUUUACUUUGUCUAUAUCAUGCCAUCUUACUCCAUGCAUUACUUCGUUCGUCAUGAACUUAAUACGUGAAGAGGCAAGAAUAAAAAGCGCUCUUGAAGUGAAGUAAUAGUAAUAAGGUGCAGGCAGGACUCUGCCUAUUUUUUUAUGAACGUGAUGCCUAUAUACACAUUUGAUGCACUUUGUUUACGUCUAAUGGAAGACCUCGACGUGCCUGCAUCAUUGUCUUGAUGUGGUGAUCAAUUUCUCUAUGAAGAAUAUCAUUACAUAGUCUAAAUAUAAAUCAAAAUCCAUGAAAGAACAAUAAGGAAACUAGGGCAAAAGAAAAUCCAUGCUAGACAGAACACACAAGAGGGGGAGAUAUGACGAUGUGAUCUUAUUAGUCAUUACCUUAAAUUUGUAAUAGAGUUGACGGCUUGCCGCGUUAUCUAGUUGUUGCCAGGGUGUGACGAACUGACGAUAGAGGAAUGGGUGAACAAUGGAGACAAGAGGAGAGAGGCUAGAUGUGAGUUCGGAGACCUAAUGAGUCAAAAGGAGCAUAGCUCAGUUGGCUUGGCGUUGGAGAUUGCAGCCAACCCAUCGGUGUUCGAGCCUCGGCUCUAACACUUGAUGCUCACGGACUUUUCUUCUAUAAAAAAAUGCCAGCAGGCUAGUCUAGUCCGGAUUGGUCUCAUUAAUUUUUAAAAGGCACGGCGGCUGUUGCGUACGCAUCGUACGAGUAAAAUUCGGGAUUGAGAGACCUGCGUAGUGGGAGCACCGAUGCAAUUUCCUUAUGAGCCUUUCGGCCUAUUAGACUAUCCACGUUUCAUUAUUCUUUUGAUCGAUGGGGUCAGCCUAAUCUUUUUACUGGGUUCACACCCAAUAGGUACCUACUUGUAAGUACGUAGCCAACAAAUGUUAUUGGGUUCAAGUGCACCCAACGCCAUCACGGUGGCUCCGCCCCUGGCCUCUAUUCUACUGCCUCCGUUCCUAAAUAUAAGUCUUUUAAGAUAUUUGAAUAGAAGUCUACAUACGAAGCAAAAUAAGUGAAUCUAUACUUUAAAAUAUGUUUAUAUACAUCAGUAUAUACUUUACUAGUGAAAUCUCUAAAAAGACUUAUAUUUAGGAACGGAGGGAGUAUAUGAUACUACCUCCGUCUCAAAUUAGUUGUCUCAAAUUUGUUUAGAUACGGAUGUAUUCAUGAUAUAAAAGUGUUUUUGGCAUUAAUGUAGUGACAAAAAUGCUUUUAUAUUAUGGGAGGAAGGGAGUAUCAAGUUACGUUUUAGUGUUACAUGCAUCCUAUCUACAAAUCAGGACAAACUAAUUUGGGACGGAAGUAGUAAUGUUAUUUUGCUGUGCUCUAGUGCUCUAUAGGCAGUAUAGCUUGCUUAAGUGUCAAGGUUUAAUUCAAAAGUUGGAGGCCAAGUCGUAUCAGGUACGCCAACUUUCUUAUGGCCUUAUAUUACUCUACAGAUACUUGCAUAUGCCUUUUUUGGAAAAAUUCAGUGUUGCUUGUCCGCGUCUGUGGAACAUAACAAGGUCUGAAUCAUUGUGUGCAUAGUUGUGUAGAACCUACUACCUCUGUUUCUAAUUGCAAGACGUUUUGGCAGUUCAAAUUGAACUGCAAAAGCAUCUUACAUUUAGGAACAGAGCUAGGGUGUAUGUUAUUACCUAUUUGAUAUAUCGUGAUAAGUAUCACACACCUAUUGUAGGAACACCAGGCAAGAUGCACAAUGCGUAAGUGCGUUAGAAAAAUGGCCUUGCCGCAUCAACCCUGAGCUUCUGCCCAUGCUAGUGGAUUUCUACAUCCACAGCAAAUGGCAGCAGGCCCUCUACCAUAAUUCAUGUCAUUUUUGCAGACUACACAAUUUGGAUGGACCGUUUCUAACACAGUGUUGCCACCUACUGCAUCCAUUUCAUAAUAUAAGAGCGUUUUUGACACUAUUAUGACGGAGGGAAUAGUUUGCUAUGGACCUGGUUUAAUUCAGUCUCUGAGUCCAAUCUCAAAACAAAUAAGAGGUUAAGAAUGGAGUGAUAAGUCAUGAGGUUUUACAUGAUAACAAAUUGCUUUGGUGCAUAUUAUGAUGCUCUGGCACUUGUUCGUUUCAUCAUGUAUAGCUAGCCACACAAAAAUGCAUUUCAUUCAUCACCGCCAGUUCUGAUUUUCUGAAUCAAAGUCUGAUGUUACUUCCAUAGUUGUUUGCUCAAGUAUGUGCUCCCAAUCCUGUAGUUAGACAAAUCAACGCAAGCCAAAUUAUGUUUCAUAUUCAUCUUAUUCGAUUACUGCAUGCAUUUCGAAUAACUCCAUUGUAAUUCCUAGCACAUGGUUCUUAUAGAUUGAAAAAUAUGAUGUACAUAUAGGAUAGGACUGGUCAGAACUCCGAGAUAAAAAAUAGAAAAGAUAUAGUCAAUGACGCAAAUCUUGCACUUUAUAAGCUAAAUGUUGCAGCGGGCAGUUUCAAUUUGAUUCAGAUCUUUUCAUCAUCCUUGUUAUGCUGUUGUCACCAGUAUAGUAGUAACUUGUCAUGCUUAGUAUAACAGGAUGUUGAUGUGACAGAGCUAUGAGAUUGUCGGUUCAAUGAAACUAGGGUACCACGGCCCAUUUAUUGCUGGUCCAGUCGGCUGUGCUAAGAAGGCCCAGUGUGGCAGGAGAACCGCUGGAGGAUUCUGACGAUCACCCCGCGAGGCUCCGGCUCCGCGAAGCGCUCUCUCUCUAAGAAGGGCCCACUGGAUACCUGUGCACGAUGUGAGACACCUCGCCAGGUCUCUCCUGCGAGCCUUUUGCAAGGAGAGACCGUGCAGUGUUGGCCUGAUGGUCAUGCGCCCGCCACGUGGAUGACGUGGCCGGGCGACAGGAGCUGCAAGGACGACGCCAACGGGCGCAGCAGAAAAAUAUUUCCUCUUUGUGAUAAAAGGGCAGUGAAAAGUUGUUCCUCCAGAAGAUGAGUCCCGAGACUUACUUUUUUGCGCAAGGAGAUCAGCGUGACAGCAGUCACCAGGACGGACCUCGCCAGCGAGCCCACGAGCGCAUCAUGGAUAGCGCCUUUCCAGGACGAAGAUCAGCGUGACAAGGAUAAAAGGGACAAACGCGCGCGGGGGGUGAGCCUUUUUCUUCCUCAUACCUUGUAACACUUUAGCACAAAAGAGAGAAAUCAAUCCAUAAAGCAGGAAUAGGGUUUUACACCGCAAAGAAAAUUAUGGAAAAGGCCUAAGGCCAUAUAUUAAGUCUUCACGGGUCUUAACAAACACAUCUUUUAUAGAAAACAAAAUGACAUUCAAUUUCUUACAUGUGCUGAAAUUUUCUUUUCUCUGCAUCUACCAAUGACGCAUUGUGAGUAAAGCUUGAUGUCGUCUUUGGGCCUCCGCCUUGAGGAGCAAACUUGUUUAAACCAAAAGCUUGUAGAAGCAAUGGUUAUUACAACACAAAAGUGGAGCAACAUUUGCGUGUAAUGUGUGGAAUUGCUCAAGUGGCAUGAAUCAAUUUGAGUUGGACUAGGAAACAAGAGAGAGUGUGUGUGUGCGCGCGAGAGAGAGUUUUUUGGCACGCAGGUGCGGGGCACCGGGUCCUUCGACGUGCUUUUUCUUUGUGCUUUCAGUUUUCAAACUUUCGUAUUUUUUGAAUAAAAAGUCUAAAUUAAAUUAUGUUUUCAAAUUCGUGUUUCUCGUGACGAGUGCUUUCGAAUAACAUCCAUUUUGAAUAUGCUUUGAUGAAUUUUAAAAAAAGUUAUUAAGUUUCGAUUCUUAAAACUUAGUACAAAAAUGUAAGUUUUAAUGAUUAAAAUUUAAAAUUUAUUGUGGCCUCAUGCGGGAUUCAACUAUUUUGCGAAUUGCGAGGCAGAUGAACGGUCGUACAGGGCUUGAUAGGUGUGUUCCUCUGCAUCGGUGUGCCCUAGUAUCCGGUGGGCGCGCGUGAGUGACAGAGAGAGAGAUUCUUGUACCGUCUAAGAGUUUUCUUACUAUUAUUUUUUCAUUCUUUGAUGCAUGAUUUACGUUGUUCCGUGAAUUCUUAUUUCCUUUUUCCCCGCAGACAACUAGACUUGCGCAUCGGUUGGUCACACGCAAUUGUAGUUGCACAAAAAAUACUGAAAGAAGAAAAGGACGGAAAUGUUGAAAUCUAACCACGCCCAAGGAAUUGUCCAACCCUCUUGUGUUACUGAAAGCAAGAUACUUUUCUCUCUCUUUUUUGAGAAAUCUUCUAAUCUAUUAUCUUCAAUCAUGAUAGUACAACGAAUACUAAAAAUAGUAAAAAUUACAGCCAGACCUAUAGACCACCUAGUGAUGACUACAAGCACUGAAGCAAACUGAAGUCACACCGUCAUCAUCAUCCCUCCCUCGCGAGAGCCAGAAGAAACUUGUUGUAAUAGAUAAUCGAGAAUCCAUCGUGCUAAGACCCCAUAGGACAAGCACACCAGAACAACAACUGUCGUCGAUGAAGAGACGCAUAAAUCGAAAGGAUCCAACCUGAAGACACACGAACGUAUAUGAACAAAGUCAACCACCAAUCUAAUCCCGUGAGAUUCAUCGAAGACACACCUCCACACACCCUCCGACGAUGCUAGAUGCAUCGUCAGGACAAAGGCUAGGCAGCGAGAAUCUUAUUUCAUCUUCAGAGAGCCACCGUCAUCUCGCCUUCCUGAACAGAACACAAAUCCUAAUAAAACUCAAAAAAAAGUCUAAAAAAUAAAGCCCUCCAGCUGGAAAAGGCCAGGAUCCACCAUGGCCCUAGGGCCAUCAGAGACAUAAUGGACCGGCGGGCACUUUCCUCGACUAAUCCACAUGCCGCCAAUUAGUUACACAUUUCUUGAGGAAAUAGUUAAAUGGUUUCUUAUUAGUUAGUAAUUUGUAUGCGUUCAAUACGAGAGAUGGCACCAAAAGAAAACCUAUUGUGCAGUGGCAUGUUUUUAUUGAUCUUUUUUUGACACGGUAUUUUGUUGAUCUUUAGAUAAUCUGAAGAGCACACAAAGCACAUGUUUAGCAUAGCGGUGGCCGCCGCUGCCAAAUGAAAACCUAGAUCACCUCUUCUCAUCUCGCCUCCCUCGGAGAUGUGGUGCUUUGGUGAGACGUGUGAUACAAUGCGGAGGGUCGGGCUGCUACGCGUGCGUUGGUGGCUGGUUCGAGCUCGUGACUCAGCUCCGGCACGUUGCCUAUCUUUUUUUAACACAGUAUAGAUGUAAAUGUUCAUACAAUUUACGAAGUCACGCGUCUCGUCGUCGACGAAAACGUCCCCUCCCACUGAAAGUAUAUCGUCGAAAAUUCAGAAAUAAAUUCAGGAACAAUGCAAGCACCAGGACUUGAACCCUAGUUGGUUGUGGAUACCACUGUCUCUCUAACCAUCCAACCACAUAUUGGUUUGCGCACGUUGUCUACCUUCGGUGGCAGGCCAACAUAAAUAUUUUAAUAAACAACCUUAUAUUCCAUUACAAAGUUAGACGGGCUAAAUCGUGAGCUAUAGAGUUUACAACAAACUCAGGGAAAUAGCCUAGCCAAGUUUCAUAUUGGCCAUCUCCUAGUUUUACACCAUAUGUUGCUAGGCUAUGAGCUUCUACAUUACAGGAUCUUAGACAAACAGUAAUAUUUACAUCAUCAAAAGUGACAUUCAAAUGAAAUUUUAUUUCUUAAAACACAACACCUAAAGUCGACAAGUCAUACUCCUCGCUUGAGAUCGCCUGCUUCAGUACCACAGAGUCUAUUUUAAAUAUCACAUGAUUACAUCCCACUUUCGUAGUUGUGAUAAUUGCAUAUAACAUGGCCAAGGCUUUGGCAUGGAGUGCAUUGGAUACAUGUUCUAGAUUUCCUGCUCCUGCAGCCAUAAAGACACCACUAUCAUUUCUGACAUUAAAACCCCAUCCACCAGACGAAGUCGGUGGCAAGCCAGCAUAGAUUUGGCAUCACAUAAGGGGGCUUCGUGAUGGGAUCCUGGGUGGUGGCGGGUCUUCAGUUGUCUUAGGGUUUUGGAUAGGAGGCAAGACGGUGUUACCAUCCCUAUGUAGGAAUAAAUUUCUCCUUGUCCUAUCUUGGUUCCGUUAGUGUGUUUAUUGUCGACGGAAGGCAUCCGACGUUGUGUCUGAUGGGUUUUUCGAGAUCGAGAUCUGAUUAGUCUAGGUUUCUGGUGAAUCCGUCUAAAUUCAAUCGGUUUUCGUUAUCCUCAGAGUUUCUACAUGCCCUUUUUGGUAUUUUCUUCUCCGGGGCGGCGAUUUGCUUCGCAGAUCAUGGUGCCGACAUCUCAUAGUCUACUUCGACGACUUUCUGGCCGAGGCGGAGGCCACAUCGAGCCAUUUUUGUUGUCGUGUCGUCGAUGGAUGUAGGAGGAAGAACACUUUGGCUCCCCAUGAAUUUGAAUGUAAUUUUUCUGUACUGGUGAGUUUGUAAGACAUGUAUUACUUAAUACUACCUCCGUCCGGAAAUACUUGUCCUAGAAANNNNNNNNNNNNNNNNNNNNNNNNNNNNNNNNNNNNNNNNNNNNNNNNNNNNNNNNNNNNNNNNNNNNNNNNNNNNNNNNNNNNNNNNNNNNNNNNNNNNNNNNNNNNNNNNNNNNNNNNNNNNNNNNNNNNNNNNNNNNNNNNNNNNNNNNNNNNNNNNNNNNNNNNNNNNNNNNNNNNNNNNNNNNNNNNNNNNNNNNNNNNNNNNNNNNNNNNNNNNNNNNNNNNNNNNNNNNNNNNNNNNNNNNNNNNNNNNNNNNNNNNNNNNNNNNNNNNNNNNNNNUUUCUAGGACAAGUAUUUUCGGACGGAGGGAGUAUAUGGUCGCCCCUUAAAAGAACAAACUUAAUAUAUGGUCUCGUGUCUUUUCCCAAAAAAAACGUAAAGAACACAUGAGAAAAUUCUCUCUACAACCGGUGUAAAUAUUGCUCGUGAUUUCCUUCGGUGCUACUGCAUAUCAUGCCACAUUUGGUAAGCAAUCCAAGCAAUUUAAGAAAAAUUGAAGAUCUUUUUCUUUAUAAAAAUUCCUUUUUGAGUUUUUUAUGAAAAACAAACAUCAAUUAACUUUAACUCCAAGAUCUAAAAUAGAUCUUAAAACGACUUCUAUGCAGGGCCGGCCCUGGUGUAUGACCGGAGGGGCGACGGCCCAAGGCCCAUGCCUGGAGGGGGCCCAUCAUCUGGUAUACAUGUGUAAUAUAGCCUAGCAAAAAACUAAGUAGGAAAAAUUUAAAAGAGCAAAAAACAAGAUGCUAGGCCUAAUUAUCUUGCGGAUAGCUAAGUGAUGAAGGGUCCCCACGGCCACAAACCGCCAUGUGUCUGUUGUGUGUGAAAGAAAUCUGGCGAUCGUUUCAGUUCGUCAGUUCGUACUUCUUCGAGUCUCUUGAUACGUCACUCUGCGGGUCGCCGCCUGCCUGCCAGCUCCGGUUGCUCGGGAUUCAGGUCCUAGUUUGUUGUCGCCGCGGCCCGCGAGGUUCGCCAGUUCGUCUUCGAGGCUCCCUGAAACGUCGCUUGGUGCCUCGUCGCCUGUCUGCCUGUCUCUGUCGUUCGGGAUUCAGGUUCUAGUUCACUGUCGCUGCGACGCGCGGCGGCAGGCCGACAACCUUCUGUUGCGUCGUUCGUCCGUGUUGGCGACCUUGCCAUCCGGCCUCCGGCGGCAUCCACGAAACCGUUCGCGCAAUCGAUUACAAAAUCUUAUUCAUUCAUGAAUGACCCAACCCCCAAUUUCAGUGUACAUGAUUAGCCUUCGUGUAUAAAUUUUUUAUUUAGUCUUUCACAAUUACUUGUAUAUAUUCAUCCAUCCUAAAUCUUUAUGUACAUCACUAGGAUUUUGAUGCAUAAAUUUUCGAUUCUCUGUAUUAUCUUCUCUUCAUAAUUUUAGGUCAUUAGCCUUUCUUGCAUUGUUAUUCAUGGAAUCGGUUGAAUCUGGUUCUUAUUUGAUGUAAUAAUGUCAGUUUCAUUUUGCUAUCUCUUUAGUCUUUAUGUGGUAAUAUGGCAUUUGUCCAAUAAGUGUUGUAGUCCAAUCUCAAACUAAAGAUGUAUGGUUAAAAGUUUACUCUUAAUUAAUAUUAUGCAAAUGAAGUUAUAUUAUUUUUAUUGUCUAAGAAUUUAGGGGCCCAUGUCCUCGUGUUUGCCCUAGGGCCUUCCGAAAUAUAGGGCCGACCCUGCUUCUAUGUUUUUCCUGGACUCCCUCCCGGUGUAGGAAACGUACUCGUAUAGUAUAUCUGAAGUAGGAGUCCUCCACGUAUAUAAUUGGCAGGUGAUGGUGAACGUAGGCACGCACGGAUAGACUGUACCCCGUGACCAAAAGACAGGCAUGGCGCCGCCGGAGAACUUGGACGGCGGCCAUCGGGCCAUCGUCAUCGAGGACGUCCCGCCGGGCACCGGGAUCGGAGACCUCGUCGGCGCCUUCUCCCCUUUCGGUGCGAUCCAGUUCGCCUCCAUGGGUCCUCCGGCCAUCGUAGGCUUCGCGAGCGAGGAGGCCGCGGCGCACGCGCUGCUUGUGGCGUCCAUGAAGAGCGUCAGCCUCCUCGGCGUCUACAGGGAGAAGGCGGCGCCGGCAGAGCGCCUAGUCGCCGACACGCCACCCAAGACGACGACCAGCCGGAUCGAGGCCGCGGCGACCGGUACGACGGCGGAGACCAAGACCAGCCUGCAGAACAAGGCAGCGUCGGCGCCCGCCGUGCACGUAGACCAGGAGGCGAUCAGGUCGCUCGUGGACUCCAUCGCCGCCCUGGAGAAAAGCCUCGACGCCUUGAAUCGCCUGCUCAACGAGCAGAGCUCCAAGAAGGAGGAGGAGGACGACGACAUCGACGUUUACGACUACGACUACGACUAUGACUACGACUACGACUACGACUAUGACGGGGCCUGGACGGACGGCUACAGUUCAGCCUUGUACUGGCGGAACGAUAACUACUACGACGCCUGGUUUGCCGGCUACCAAGCUGGAGUCAAGGAUUCGCCGGUUGGUUAGCCUUGGAUUUACAUAACUCAAAGCUGCGUCUAGGAGGAAGUGGCUUUUUUCAGACGUUAGAAGGUGUGGAAAGAAAAUUAGGCAUCUACUUUUCAUGUCGUCGUCAUUGUUUCUACAAUUUUUCAUUGGACAAAACCCUAGAUUCAAGACAUCUGUGUUUUUGUUAGGGAGUUAAUACGUAUAUCAGAUACAGAAAAAGGAGGAUUUUUUCUUUUUAUGUAAUACUACAAUACAAGUAUAUGUAAGAAGAAGUUUAGUGUCUUCGCAAAAAGAACAAAAAAGUUUAGUCCUAAUGUUUUUACUUUUUAAGCGCUCAAGUUUGUCCGAAAUAUCCUGACGGGUGGGGCAGAC
rnacentral:lncRNA from 1 species